AAAUGAUUCAAAGGUGAAAGUGAAGUGAUGAUGCAAAGCAUGGGGGUAAAAUGGAGUGGUGUUGCAGCUAGAGAACAUGAAUGAUUAUGCACAUGGUAGAGAAAGGAAAGGGAGGUGGAAUGAUGCAACAAAUGAGUCAAUGGAGGGAACAUGGAUGAUGAUACACGGCAUAGGAAUCCAAAUGGAGUGCAAUGGUGGUGCACAACAAUGAUGGAAAGGUGAAUGGUGGAGUGACACCCCUUUGUGGUUGAGCUCUUUGUCCUUUUUACAUUAAUUCUUCUUUCUCUUUAACACAUUCCUUGCCUCUUUAGUCUUCAAUUUCGUCCAUCCACCUUGCUCCAAGCAUGUGCUAUUCAUUCCAAGCCCAAAACUGCUCCAAAAUGCACCAAAAUGCAUCUCAUUGCUUCAUAAGGCCUAUGGACUUACAAACACACGAAAAUAGCUUAAAAUACAUAAUUAACUAAGAAAUAACAACAGGAAUGCAUGAGAACAAGCUAACUCAGUCGCAUAAAUAUGCUCCUAUCAAAUUCCCCCACACUUAGCUUUUGCUAGUCCUCGAGCAAAACAAAACAAACGAAACAAACAAAACACAACCUAGACCUUCCAACAUUUGCCUCAGGGAUUUUUAAUGAAACAUGACAUGUUAAAAAAUCAUCAUUUCCACAAAUUUUGGUCAUCUUUACACUUGAGCACAUACUUAAUCACAAUCACCACUUACUAGUUCACAAUUAACCAAUUAAAACGAUGUUUUGAAUGUAGUAACAUGCCUUAGAGAAUUUGCUCAAUUUCUUACAAGAUACUCUCUAUUUUCACACACAUUUUCUGACUACACACCCUACACUAGUAUAUGUGAGAAGAUUAAUGUAAACACGAAAGACUAUGACUCACAUAUGUUAUAACAAAGAAAUCAAUUUUCUGGAGUUAUUAAGCAUGUUUAUAUAUGAUCUCAUGAAUGGAAUGCUACUAAUUAGAUGCGAGAACCAGUGACACCAUAUGCUCAUACCAAUUUCA
rnacentral:lncRNA from 1 species